rnacentral:siRNA from 1 species
UGAAGGCCUACACUAACUUUA